GUGUGCGAGUCAUUGGGUAUAUUGUUGAAACCUAAGGGCGCAAUUAAAAUAACUAUUUUAUGGGAUUACAAGUGAAUUAAAUUUCAUUUCUUCAUCCCGGGGCGUUCUAUACGAACAUGGUUCAAGCAAUUGAAUCCUCUGUUCAAGAGCGUACCUUGAGCAUACAUGCUGUGACCCGAAAGAUGGUGAACUAUACCUGAUCAGAUCGAAGCCAGGAGAAAUUCUGGUGGAGGAUCGAAACAGUUCUGACGUGCAAAUCGAUUGUCAGAAUUGGGUAUAGGGGCGAAAGACCAAUCGAACCAUCUAGUAGCUGGUUCCCUCCGAAGUUUCCCUCAGGAUAGCUGGCGCAAAGAAUUAUAUUGUAUAUAAUCUUAUCUGGUAAAGCGAAUGAUUAGAGGCCUUGGGGCCGAAACGACCUCAACCUAUUCUCAAACUUUAAAUGGGUAAGAACCUCAUCUUUCUUGAUCUGAAGAUAUUGGGGUUUAGAUAUAUUGUGCCCAGUGGGCCACUUUUGGUAAGCAGAACUGGCGCUGUGGGAUGAACCAAACAUGAUGUUACGGCGCCUAAAUUAAUGACUCAUAUUGAUACCAUGAAAGGCGUUGGUUGCUUAAAACAGCAGGACGGUGGACAUGGAAGUCGUAAUCCGCUAAGGAGUGUGUAACAACUCACCUGCCGAAGCAACUAGCCCUUAAAAUGGAUGGCGCUCAAGUCAUAUGCCUAUACAUCAUCGCUAGAAUAAAAAUUGUUGGCCAUUCGGUCAUCAUUGUGAAAUUCUAGUGAGUAGGAGGGUACAAUGGUGUGCGCAGAAGUGUUUGGCGUGAGCCUGCAUGAAGCCGCCAUUGGCACAGAUCUUGGUGGUAGUAGCAAAUAAUCGAAUGAGAUCUUGGAGGACUGAAGUGGAGAAGGGUUUCGUGUGAACAGUGGUUGAUCACGAGUUAGUCGGUCCUAAGCUUUAUGCGAAAGCUGUUUAAUUUAUGUUACACACAAAAUUUUUGUUGUACAUAAUUCAAUAAAAGCGAAAGGGAAUACGGUUCCAAUUCCGUAACCUGUUGAGUAUACGUUUGUUUAUUAAAAAUGGGUCUUAUUACACUCAUCCUGGCAACAGGAACGACCAUAGAGAAGCCUUCGAGAGAUACUGGAAGAGUUUUCUUUUCUGCUAAACAAGCGUACCACCAUGGAAGUCUUUUAUAGAGAGAUAUGGUGGAUGGCUUGGAAGAGCAUGACAUUUACUGUUGUGUCAGUAUUUU
rnacentral:rRNA from 1 species